rnacentral:rRNA from 1 species
CCUACGGGUGGCAGCAGUCGAGAAUCAUUGUCAAUGGGCGAGACCCUGAUCCAGCCAAGCCGCGUGGGGGAAUACAGCCCUACGGGUUGUAAACCCCUUUUAUGGGGGAGCAAAUUACACCACUAGUACCACAAGAGGGAGAACCGGCUAAAUCGGCGCCAGCAGACGCGGUACUACAGAGGCCUCAAGCGUUGUUCGGAAUAACUGGGCGUAAAGUGUGCGUAGGCGGAAUGCCAAGUCAGCGGUAAAAUCGCGGGGCUCAACCUCGCUCCGCCGUUGAAACUGGCGGUCUUGAGUGGGCGAGAAGUAUGCGGAAUGCGUGGUGUAGCGGUGAAAUGCAUAGAUAUCACGCAGAACUCCGAUUGCGAAGGCAGCAUACCGGCGCCCAACUGACGCUGAAGCACGAAAGCGUGGGGAUCGAACAGGAUUAGAUACCCUAGUAGUC